GAUGAACGCUGGCGGCGUGCCUAAUACAUGCAAGUCGAGCGAACAGACGAGGAGCUUGCUCCUCUGACGUUAGCGGCGGACGGGUGAGUAACACGUGGAUAACCUACCUAUAAGACUGGGAUAACUUCGGGAAACCGGAGCUAAUACCGGAUAAUAUAUUGAACCGCAUGGUUCAAUAGUGAAAGACGGUUUUGCUGUCACUUAUAGAUGGAUCCGCGCCGCAUUAGCUAGUUGGUAAGGUAACGGCUUACCAAGGCAACGAUGCGUAGCCGACCUGAGAGGGUGAUCCGCCACACUGGAACUGAGACACGGUCCAGACUCCUACGGGAGGCAGCAGUAGGGAAUCUUCCGCAAUGGGCGAAAGCCUGACGGAGCAACGCCGCGUGAGUGGUGAAGGUCUUCGGAUUCUAAAACCCUGUUAUUAGGGAAGAAAAAAAGUUGAAGUAACCAUGCACAUCUUGACGGUACCUAAUCAAAAAGCCACGGCUAACUUCGUG
rnacentral:rRNA from 1 species